rnacentral:rRNA from 1 species
AGAGUUUGAUCCUGGCUCAGGACGAACGCUGGCGGCGUGCCUAAUACAUGCAAGUAGAACGCUGAAGACUUUAGCUUGCUAAAGUUGGAAGAGUUGCGAACGGGUGAGUAACGCGUAGGUAACCUGCCUACUAGCGGGGGAUAACUAUUGGAAACGAUAGCUAAUACCGCAUAACAGCAUUUAACCCAUGUUAGAUGCUUGAAAGGAGCAAUUGCUUCACUAGUAGAUGGACCUGCGUUGUAUUAGCUAGUUGGUGAGGUAACGGCUCACCAAGGCGACGAUACAUAGCCGACCUGAGAGGGUGAUCGGCCACACUGGGACUGAGACACGGCCCAGACUCCUACGGGAGGCAGCAGUAGGGAAUCUUCGGCAAUGGGGGCAACCCUGACCGAGCAACGCCGCGUGAGUGAAGAAGGUUUUCGGAUCGUAAAGCUCUGUUGUAAGAGAAGAACGUGUGUGAGAGUGGAAAGUUCACACAGUGACGGUAACUUACCAGAAAGGGACGGCUAACUACGUGCCAGCAGCCGCGGUAAUACGUAGGUCCCGAGCGUUGUCCGGAUUUAUUGGGCGUAAAGCGAGCGCAGGCGGUUUAAUAAGUCUGAAGUUAAAGGCAGUGGCUUAACCAUUGUUCGCUUUGGAAACUGUUAGACUUGAGUGCAGAAGGGGAGAGUGGAAUUCCAUGUGUAGCGGUGAAAUGCGUAGAUAUAUGGAGGAACACCGGUGGCGAAAGCGGCUCUCUGGUCUGUAACUGACGCUGAGGCUCGAAAGCGUGGGGAGCAAACAGGAUUAGAUACCCUGGUAGUCCACGCCGUAAACGAUGAGUGCUAGGUGUUAGGCCCUUUCCGGGGCUUAGUGCCGCAGCUAACGCAUUAAGCACUCCGCCUGGGGAGUACGACCGCAAGGUUGAAACUCAAAGGAAUUGACGGGGGCCCG